rnacentral:rRNA from 1 species
GAUGAACGCUAGCUACAGGCUUAACACAUGCAAGUCGAGGGGCAGCAUGGUCUUAGCUUGCUAAGGCCGAUGGCGACCGGCGCACGGGUGAGUAACACGUAUCCAACCUGCCGUCUACUCUUGGACAGCCUUCUGAAAGGAAGAUUAAUACAAGAUGGCAUCAUGAGUCCACAUGUUCACAUGAUUAAAGGUAUUCCGGUAGACGAUGGGGAUGCGUUCCAUUAGAUAGUAGGCGGGGUAACGGCCCACCUAGUCUUCGAUGGAUAGGGGUUCUGAGAGGAAGGUCCCCCACAUUGGAACUGAGACACGGUCCAAACUCCUACGGGAGGCAGCAGUGAGGAAUAUUGGUCAAUGGGCGAGAGCCUGAACCAGCCAAGUAGCGUGAAGGAUGACUGCCCUAUGGGUUGUAAACUUCUUUUAUAAAGGAAUAAAGUCGGGUAUGCAUACCCGUUUGCAUGUACUUUAUGAAUAAGGAUCGGCUAACUCCGUGCCAGCAGCCGCGGUAAUACGGAGGAUCCGAGCGUUAUCCGGAUUUAUUGGGUUUAAAGGGAGCGUAGAUGGAUGUUUAAGUCAGUUGUGAAAGUUUGCGGCUCAACCGUAAAAUUGCAGUUGAUACUGGAUAUCUUGAGUGCAGUUGAGGCAGGCGGAAUUCGUGGUGUAGCGGUGAAAUGCUUAGAUAUCACGAAGAACUCCGAUUGCGAAGGCAGCCUGCUAAGCUGCAACUGACAUUGAGGCUCGAAAGUGUGGGUAUCAAACAGGAUUAGAUACCCUGGUAGUCCACACGGUAAACGAUGAAUACUCGCUGUUUGCGAUAUACGGCAAGCGGCCAAGCGAAAGCGUUAAGUAUUCCACCUGGGGAGUACGCCGGCAACGGUGAAACUCAAAGGAAUUGACGGGGGCCCGCACAAGCGGAGGAACAUGUGGUUUAAUUCGAUGAUACGCGAGGAACCUUACCCGGGCUUAAAUUGCAGAUGAAUUACGGUGAAAGCCGUAAGCCGCAAGGCAUCUGUGAAGGUGCUGCAUGGUUGUCGUCAGCUCGUGCCGUGAGGUGUCGGCUUAAGUGCCAUAACGAGCGCAACCCUUGUUGUCAGUUACUAACAGGUUCCGCUGAGGACUCUGACAAGACUGCCAUCGUAAGAUGUGAGGAAGGUGGGGAUGACGUCAAAUCAGCACGGCCCUUACGUCCGGGGCUACACACGUGUUACAAUGGGGGGUACAGAGGGCCGCUACCACGCGAGUGGAUGCCAAUCCCCAAAACCUCUCUCAGUUCGGACUGGAGUCUGCAACCCGACUCCACGAAGCUGGAUUCGCUAGUAAUCGCGCAUCAGCCACGGCGCGGUGAAUACGUUCCCGGGCCU